AGAUUUGAAUCCUGUCAUCACCUAUAGACUUCUAUUAAUAAACUCUAAAAUUAGGCUUUAGCUAUGUCGAUUCCAGCAAAAAGAAAUGUUCAUUGCCAACUCUUUGCGACUCCAAAGCCUCCCAACAGAAUUCCGAAAUUGCAAAUUAAUAGUGCCAUUAACAGACAAAGCAAUUGAUUGAGACCAAAUCAAGAUUACACUUACUCAUUCAAAUCAAACAUCUAACAUAUGAGAUUUAAAAGACUAUUAUCCUUAGACCUUGAAUCAUUUUUCGGUAAUUUAAAAUCUCAAUAUGCAUCCACUAUACAAAUCAUUGUUCAAGUGAGUUUAAACAUAUUUAAUGGACCAUUUCAGCUUAACUUUUAACUUGAGCAAAAUUAAUGAUUUUAGAUAUCAAGGGAGAAGGCAAAUAUGGACAGAUCUAUGGACCAGCACCCUCAAUACACGAAAUCUGGACAUAAAUACAUCAAGAACAAAUCACAACUUCAAUUUCAUAUUUAAUAGAGAUCUUAAAUGAAGUGUUACAUACCUAACAACAAUGAGACAGAAGAAAAUGACCAAUUAAUGGUCAAAUUUGAGAGCAAACAGAGCUUGGUCAGACAGGAGCAACUUAAACAGUAAUCACCAGCAAACGGACUCAAACUUCAGCCGCUUCUAAACCCAGAAAAAUGUUCCCAAAAAGCUUGCUUAUUCAGUGUAUUUAGUGUAUGCCGGAUGUGUGCGUUUUCUUUUUGAAAGAAAUUAGUAUAAGAUGAGGGGAGUGUCUAUUCUGCCGAGUCUAGCAUUAAAAUCAGUGCCCAUUGUUGAAUAAAACCAACUCGUGAGAAUGAAGUGUUCCUUCUCUCAAAAAAUGCUGAAAUGAGAGUGUGUUAAUUUCUAAAGAAUGUAGAGAUCAACCGGGUCCUAAUGUAAGAGCGUGCGUGUGAAAUUUGAGAGCAUUCUUCUAAUUGCGGCGGCUAGGUUUUUUCCAAGGGGCGGAAGUCCGUC
rnacentral:lncRNA from 1 species